rnacentral:rRNA from 1 species
CGACGUAAAGAACUUGCCUCACAGCUAGGGACAACAUUUAGAAAUGAAUGCUAAUACCUGAUAUUAUGAUUUUAAGGCAUCUUAGAAUUAUGAAAGCUAUAAGCACUGUGAGAGAGCUUUGCGUCCCAUUAGCUAGUUGGAGAGGUAACAGCUCACCAAGGCGAUGAUGGGUAGCCGGCCUGAGAGGGUGAACGGCCACAAGGGGACUGAGACACGGCCCUU